UACUUCGUAGCUCAAUGGUAGAGCAAUCAAAUCCUAAUUGAUGUGUUGCGGGUUCAAUCCCCGCCGAACUCGCAA
rnacentral:tRNA from 1 species